UGCCAGCAGCCGCGGUAAUACAUAGGGGGCAAGCGUUAUCCGGAAUUAUUGGGCGUAAAGGGUGCGUAGGCGGUCAUUUAAGUCUUCGGUGUAAGUGCAAGGCUCAACCUUGGAAUUGCAUCUGAUACUGGGUGGCUAGAGUACAGUAGAGGAAAGUGGAAUUCCCGGUGUAGCGGUGAAAUGCGUAGAUAUCGGGAGGAACAUCAGUGGCGAAGGCGACUUUCUGGACUGAUACUGACACUGAGGUACGAAAGCGUGGGUAGCAAACAGGAUUAGAUA
rnacentral:rRNA from 1 species